rnacentral:rRNA from 1 species
CGGCGGACGGGUGAGUAACGCGUGGGUAACCUGCCUCAUACAGGGGAGUAACAGUUAGAAAAUGGCUGCUAAUACCGCAUAAGACCACGGUACUGCAUGGUACAGUGGUAAAAACUCCGGUGGUAUGAGAUGGACCCGCGUCUGAUUAGGUAGUUGGUGAGGUAACGGCCCACCAAGCCGACGAUCAGUAGCCGACCUGAGAGGGUGACCGGCCACAUUGGGACUGAGACACGGUCCAG